rnacentral:rRNA from 1 species
UACGAAGGGGGCUAGCGUUGUUCGGAAUCACUGGGCGUAAAGGGCGCGUAGGCGGCGCGACAAGUCAGGCGUGAAAGCCCCGGGCUCAACCCGGGAAUUGCGCUUGAUACUGUCGUGCUUGAGGCCGGGAGAGGAUGGCGGAAUUCCCAGUGUAGAGGUGAAAUUCGUAGAUAUCGGGAGGAACACCAGUGGCGAAGGCGGCGAUCUGGGAAGAUACUGACGCUGAGGUGCGAAAGCGUGGGGAGCAAACAGG